rnacentral:lncRNA from 1 species
CAACCUGCCUACCUCACAAUCACAUCAGAGCACUACAAGCAACUGCUGCCAUGAGCAAGAUCCCAGCCCACAAGGAAAGGUCUGCCCUAUAGAUCAUCCUGUACCAGAGAUCUACAGCAUAAUGGCCUGGAAGCAGUCUUUGUUUUGGAGCCAAGCCCAGCAAAGUCUCAAUUCCUUCCCCUUCAAUCGCCAUCUGGAUGAACAAGGCCAAGUCAUUGACCUUCUCUGGGCCUCAGUUUCCUCACCCAUAAACUGGAGCAAAGUCAUCUCCAAGACAGCAGGAACCAUGUUUACUCUUUAAUCAUUGUAUGCUCCCUAAAUAUUUGCUGAACAAGUGAACAAAAAACCUGGUGGUGGUGAAAUUAGACUCCUUCUUGGUGUCACCAGGAGGUCCAGUUGGAUAAUUUCAAGACAAGCCCAAAGUACAUUAGCAGAGGAAUGGGGAAGAAAUCCAUAAGGAAGCCAUGUAAGCAGCCUUAAGCAAGAGAAAAGUGGGUGAUUCUGAUAAUGCGACAAGUACCAGGGACCCAGAAAGGAUCAGAAUGAAUAAAAGUAUAUAUUUUAAUC